UACAGAGGUCUCAAGCGUUGUUCGGAUUCAUUGGGCGUAAAGGGUGCGUAGGUGGCGCUGUAAGUCGGGUGUGAAAUUUCGGAGCUUAACUCCGAAACUGCAUUCGAUACUGCGGUGCUUGAGGACUGGAGAGGAGACUGGAAUUCAUGGUGUAGCAGUGAAAUGCGUAGAGAUCAUGAGGAAGACCAGUGGCGAAGGCGGGUCUCUGGGCCACUACUGACGCUGAGAAGCGAAAGCAUGGGGAGCGAACAGG
rnacentral:rRNA from 1 species